UACGGAGGGUGCAAGCGUUGUCCGGAAUCAUUGGGCGUAAAGCGUUCGUAGGCGGCAUGUCAAGUCUGGUGUUAAAGCCUGGGGCUCAACCCCAGUUCGGCACUGGAUACUGGCAAGCUAGAAUGAGGUAGAGGUAAUGGGAAUUCCUGGUGUAGCGGUGAAAUGCGUAGAUAUCAGGAGGAACACCGGUGGCGUAAGCGCAUUACUGGGCCUUUAUUGACGCUGAGGAACGAAAGCCGGGGGAGCAAAUGGG
rnacentral:rRNA from 1 species